GACAGAAACCUCACUGAUGGCAAAUUUAAUUAACAAAUUUGGGGGCGGCUGUAAAAAAGGCCUGUUCAGGUUAGUAUUUUGUUCUGUAUCUCCCGUUUCUGAGUGCACCUGAAUGUGUUGCUCUUUGUCUGAGCGCCCCUGAACGCAGCAUGCACAGCGCAUCUCCUAAGUAACGGCAGUGAGGGAGACAUGCCCAGAUAAGUUUUGGAUUCAACUAAAAGGACUCGUGUAUUUUCUGACGGACUUUUAUUAUUACUGUGUGCGUCCGUGAGACAAAACCACACACAAAUACACACAUUGGUUCAAUUAUUUCAAGGAAAGGAAAGGCCUCAAACUCAUGCCUUGUACUGUUCACCGGAAAUGUAUAUAAAUGGCUUGAACUGGAA